AGCCUGAACGCUGGCGGCGUGGCUAAGACAUGCAAGUCGCACGGAUGUAGCAAUACAUCAGUGGCGAACGGGUGAGUAAUGAAUCGCUAACGUACCCUGGACUUUGGGAUAGCUGAUCGAAAGGUCAGGUAAUACCAGAUGAUAUAACUCUGUCGCAUGACAGAGUUCUCAAAGGUCCGCCGGUCCUGGAGCGGGCGAUUUCGUAUCAGCUAGUUGGUGAGGUAACGGCUCACCAAGGCGACGACGCGUAGCCGGACUGAGAGGUUGGCCGGCCACAUUGGGACUGAGACACUGCCCAGACUCCUACGGGGGGCUGCAGUAACGAUCUUCCGCAAUGCACGAAAGUGUGACGGAGCGACGCCGCGUGUGGGACGAAGCCCUUCGGGGUGUAAACCACUGUCAGGGGAAAGAAAGUUCUGAUCUACCCCAGAGGAAGAGGCGGCUAACUCUGCGCCAGCAGCCGCGGU
rnacentral:rRNA from 1 species